rfam:Capsicum annuum cultivar Zunla-1 unplaced genomic scaffold scaffold1246, whole genome shotgun sequence
AUCUCAUGGUAAGGACAUUUCAAGAUCUUUUCCUUGAAACAUCCCCAAGCUUCACACCACUGUUCGUUAUGAAAUUGGCAGAAAUUAAUGAUUUCAUCCAGUAAUGGU